UAUUUCUGGAUUCAUCGAUUCAUUGUCAUGAUUAUGUUCUCAAACAAUAAACUAAAAAAGUUUAUUAUUAAGUUGGGACUCUCAAAAAUAUUUUUACAUCAAAAUUGGGCCUCUGUUUCUUCAAAGUUGGAAACUAUGCAAACUGUUGGAAAAAACUGGAAUUGACUGGCUGUGUUUGGUUUGGACAACUCAUCGAAAUGAGAGGGAGCCCAGCACGAGUUCUGCUUGAGUGAUGUCUGAAAAUCUGGCCUCUCAGUCUACCUUAAAAGCCUACCUAUUUGGCUUUCACUAGAGUUCAGAUACAUAAAACAAAUAUCUUUGCUUUGGCUUCCCUUGAGUCAUAUCAAUCUACACCUCAUCAAGAAUAUGAAGUUUGGAAGAACAAAGAAGCAAUUGAGCAUCCUAAACUCAACGUAGGGCAAGUAACAUGGACAUUGAUACACCAAGUUCCUUCUUGUUUUUCCUUGAAAGUUGGCUUGAUGAAUGUAUUCUGCAGGGAUUUUAAAGGUGUGGAAAUGAAGCAGACAUCAAGGACUGCUGCAGUUUACUGGGGGUCCACUCCAGACCUUAGUUGCUUCAGUUUUUCCCUGUACCUGGAGGUAUCGUCAGUGAAGCCUGCAAAACAGCAAAGAUGGCAGCCUGCUCCUUCCUCUGGAAGCUCCAUCCCAGGGAUGCACUGACCUGUUGCCAGAAGGAACAUGCCUGUAGGAGGUGGCUGGAGACCCCUGCUGGGAGGUCCCACCCACUCGGGAGGAAUGGGAUCAGGGACCCACCCCAAGAAGCCCUCUGGCUGCCCUUUGGUAGAGUAGGUGCCAGGAGACCCUUCCUUGCCUGGACCAUUUGUAUUUUCCAAAGUUGGCAGGCUGGAAUGGCUGAGUUUACCAAACUGCAGAGAUGACAGCUGCUCUUCCCCUGUGAGCUUCAUUCCAGGGAGAGAUCAGAACUUUGUCUGUAGAACCCUUGCUUGUGUGGCUGAAGCCCCUGCAGGGAGGACUUGCCCAGUGAAGAGGAAUAGAUUGAGGUACCGCUUAAAGAAGCAGUCUGGCCAUGAUCUGGCAAGGCAGCUGUGCUGUGCUGCAGGGAACCUCUCCUUGCUCGAACUUCUUGUAUUCUUCAAAGCUAGCAGGCUGAAACCAAUAAAUUUAAAUUUAAAUAGGUAAAAAUAAGUAAAUAAAGAUAAAGAAAAAUAAAUUGACUGAUUUAUUCUGCCUUCAGGAGCUCUUAGAUGAUGUAGGAAAACAAAUAAUACUGUACAAUCAAAGUCGAAAUUCCUUAAGCAGAGGGUCUUAUGAGAACACAAAGGGAAGGCAACUGGAGCUUUACAGAUGACUUCCUAGACUAGAGAUACCUGAUGUGGGUCUUUAGGGUUAAGUCAUUAAUAGCAAGGCCAAGUAGAGGAAGAGCAUAUCCUACAGAGAAAAAAAGAAUAAGCAAAGGCUGGCUGUUGAGAGAAUUGCAAGUGCUUAGUAUGACUAUAGCGGUAGUCUCAACAGGAGCAGGACAUCCUUAGGGGAUGUUUUGAAAAAUUUUUGUGGAAUUUUCUUGGUCCCAGUAAUUAGUAAGCACUAUUAGCCUUAAAAUGAUAAAGGGCCACUGAGCUAGAUGUUCUGCAAUGGGCAAGACAAUUGCACACAAUGAAAAAUUGUCCCAAGUUCAAGUUUGGACAAGUUAGGGAUGUCCCUCCAGGCAUUUUUGUCAAUGAAAAACCUCUUUGUAACUGUCUUGGCAUAGAGCCUAACUCCAUAUAUACAUAUAACACAAAAUAUUUUUGCACAGUUUUAAUAUACACUAAAUUUUCCAGGGACACAAUUACAUAAAUUAAGGAAAGAUCAUGCUUUGCUGUGUUUGGAACUUAUCAAGAGUCAUUCACCAUUCUAGAAAAUAGCAUCAAAGAUGCAAUAUAGCUCUUGGUGUCUGAGUUGCCAGUUCAGCCAUCUGUGUCAAUCUGUAUUUGUAGAUAUUGCAGUCAAGGUGAUAUUAUUUUUAAGCAAAAGUGUCUGACAACUUUAUUAAGUUCCCCAAUGUAGCUGUGCCAUAGCAUUUUAGAUUAUUUUAAAUUGUAUAUUACUUUCCUUUUAUUUUUCCUCUAAUGAUAGAUACUUAGGGCAUUUUUUUUAAAAACCCAAUGAGAAGACAGGUUAUUUUAUCUAUGAGUUUCAUUUCAGGAUAGUAAAAGUGUAUUACAAAAUGCUGGUUGUAACAACGGGGACAUUAGGUUGCAAAGGACAGAAUGGGCUGGUAUGUCAGUAGCAUCUCUUUCCCCAAAGACCUCAGUUGUGACAUGUGAAACUCUAAUUGCUAUGUGAUGUUUCCAGUUGUAAGGGCCUGAUUAUGGUUUAAUGC
rnacentral:lncRNA from 1 species